AUUUCAACCAACACAAGCACCACCACGACCUUUCGGAUCACAACAGGGGUAUGAUGCUGGACUUUCUUCGUAUUACCCUACGGCGACAGCAGAAGGAACGCAAGGAUCGCACCACCAGCUUCCUGAUAUGGGUCAUUCCUCG